AUGUGUGGGAUGGGAUUUGGCUACAAAUGGAUUAAAUGGAUGGAUGUGUAUGUGAUCUCAAGCACCAUGUCCAUUUUAGUAAAUGGUAGUCCCACAAAGGAUUUUCAAUUUAGAGACAAUACUUUAAUUAUUGGAGAAUGGUCAUGGAGAAACUUAGGUAGUAUCAAGACACUACUGAGAGGAUUUCAAUUGGCUAUAGGAUUGUGUGAAAAUUUAAAUAAAAGCAAGGUCAUUAGUAUUAAUUUGAAGGAUAACUUCUUGCAAGUAGCUUAUAGCUUCUUGGCUUGUGGAAUUAGCUCCACCACGUUUCAAUUUCUUAGCAUUCUCGUGGGAGUAAAUCCAAAGAGGAGGGUAACAUGGGUUCCAAUUUAA